AGUUUGAUGCCUGGCUCAGGAUGAACGCUGGCGGCGUGCCUAAUGCAUGCAAGUCGAGCGAUGAGGCUCCUUCGGGAGGGUUCUCCGGGGAACGGGGGAGUAACACGUGGGUGACUUGUCCCGAAGAUGGGGAUAACCUCUGGAAACGGGGGCUAAUACCCCAUGUGAUCUUGGAUACUGUUCAUCGAGUAGAGCUCCUCCGCUUCUCUGGAAGCCUGCUGCCCAUCAUCUACUUGGUAGGGUAACGGCCUACCACGGCAGAGACGGGUAGGGGGCGUGAGAGAGCGUACCCCCACACUGGGACUGAGAUACGGGCCCCACUCCUACAGGAGGCGCCACUACGGGAUAUUGUGCACUGUGCAAAAGUCUCAGAUGCCGACACCCCGUGGGCAAUAAAAGCCUUCUGGUUGUAAAGCCCUUUUAUGGGGGAAAAGAAAAAGGACGGUACCCCAGGAAUAAGUCCCGGCUAACUACGUGCCAGCAGCCGCGGUAAAACGUAGGGGACAAGCGUUAUCCGGAUUCACUGGGCGUAAAGAGCGUUGCAGGCGGUCCCGUAAGUUGGGCGUGAAAGCUCCGGGCUUCAACUCCGGAGAUGUCGUUCAAUACUGCGGUGUCUUGAGGACAGUCAGAGGAAGAGUGGAAUUCUCCGGUGUAGUGGUGAAAUGCGUAGAUAUCGGGAGGAGCACCCGUGGCGAAGGCGGCUUCUCUGGGCUGUUCCUGACGCUGAAAGACAAAGCUUAGGGGAACGGACCGGGAUAGAUGACCCUGGU
rnacentral:rRNA from 1 species